rnacentral:rRNA from 1 species
GUGGGGAAUAUUGGACAAUGGGCGCAAGCCUGAUCCAGCCAUGCCGCGUGAGUGAUGAAGGCCUUCGGGUUGUAAAGCUCUUUAGUCCACGAAUAUAAUGACUGUAGUGGAAGAAUAAGCCCCGGCUAACUUCGUGCCAGCAGCCGCGGUAAUACGAAGGGGGCGAGCGUUAUUCGGAAUCACUGGGCGUAAAGCGUGCGUAGGCUGUUUUGUAAGUCAGAAGUGAAAGCCCAGGGCUUAACCCUGGAAUUGCUUUUGAAACUACAAGACUCGAAUUCGGGAGAGGAUAGCGGAAUUGUCAGUGUAGCAGUGAAAUGCGUAGAUAUUGACAGGAACACCAGUGGCGCAAGCGGCUAUCUGGACCGAUAUUGACGCUGAGGCACGAAAGCGUGGGGAGCAAACAGGAUUAGAAACCCGUGUAGUCC